UACGUAGGGGGCAAGCGUUGUCCGGAAUCAUUGGGCGUAAAGAGCGCGUAGGCGGCCCUGUAAGUCCGCUGUGAAAGUCAAGGGCUCAACCCUUGAAUGCCGGGUGGAUACUGCAGGGCUAGAGUCCGGAAGAGGCGAGUGGAAUUCCUGGUGUAGCGGUGAAAUGGCGCAGAUAUCAGGAGGAACACCGGUGGCGAAGGCGGGUCUCUGGGCCGAUGACUGACGCUGAGGAGCGAAAGCGUGGGGAGCGAACAGGA
rnacentral:rRNA from 1 species